ensembl:lncRNA
UGAGUUGUCUCUCCAGUCCUACAGUGAGUUGACUCACCAUGGCUAUAGUGAGUUGUCCUACAGUGAGUUGUCUCUCCAGUCCUAUAGUGAGUUGACUCACCAUGGCUAUAGUGAGUUGUCCUACAGUGAGUUGUCUCUCCAGUCCUAUAGUGAGUUGACUCACCAUGGCUAUAGUGAGUUGUCCUACAGUGAGUUGUCUCACCAGUCCUAUAGUGAGUUGUCCUAUAGUGUGUUGCCUCACCAGUCCUACAGUGAGUUGUGUUGUCUCACCAGUCCUACAGUGAGUUGUGUUGUCUCACCAGGCCUAUAGUGUAUUGUGUUGUCUCACCAGGCCUAUAGUAUGUUGUGUUGUCUCACCAGUCCUACAUUGUGUUGUGUUGUCUCACCAGUCCUAUAGUGAGUUGUGUUGUCUCACUAGUCCUAUAGUGAGUUGUCCUACAGUGAGUGGUCUCACCAGACCUAUAGUGAGUUGUCUCUCCAGGCCUAUAGUUAUUUGUUUCACCUUGUCAAUAUAUAGUGAGUUGUCGCACCAGUCCUAUAGUGUGCAGUCUCACCAGACCUAUAGUGAGUUUUCUCUCCAGGCCUAUAGUUAUUUGUUUCACCAGGUCUAUCUAUAGUGGGUUGUCUCUCCAGGCCUAUAGCUAUUUGUUUCACCAGGUCUAUCUAGAGUGGGUUGUCUCUCCAGGCCUAUAGUUAUUUGUUUCACCAGGUCUAUCUAUAGUGGGUUGUCUCUCCAGGCCUAUAAUUAUUUGUUUCACCAGGUCUAUCUAUAGUGGGUUGUCUCUCAAGGCCUAUAGUUAUUUGUUUCACCAGGUCUAUCUAUAGUGGGUUGUCUCUCCAGGCCUAUAAUUAUUUGUUUCACCAGGUCUAUCUAUAGUGAGUUGUCUCUCCAGGGCUAUUGUCAUUUGUUUCACCAGGUCUAUCUAUAGUGAGUUGUCUCUCCAGGGCUAUUGUCAUUUGUUUCACCAGGUCUAUCUAUAGUGAGUUGUCUCUCCAGGGCUAUUGUCAUUUGUUUCACCAGGUCUAUCUAUAGUGAGUUGUCUCACCGGUCCUGUAGUGUGCAGUCUCACCCGGCCUGUGCGUCUCCUCAGCGUAGGGUUGAAGCCGUGGACGAUAGUCUCUUAAAGGGUAAUAGUUUUGACUCUCCUGUAAUGCCAGAGAAAAAUAACAUGAGGUUUGUACGAACGAUGCGUCGCAUAACUAUUCACACAUUAUUAUAUACAGUUUCGCUAUGUAUAGUGUGAUAUUAUCUAUCGAUGCAUAUAUCUUCAACAGGAGGUUUAACCACUCGCAUUUACGAUCGUCAUUUCAAUCUGCACACUUGUGUUUAUAGCGGUGCCUGUAAAACCUUGAGUCACC